rfam:Salmo salar isolate Sally breed double haploid chromosome ssa27, whole genome shotgun sequence.
GGCCGGUUAGCUCAGUUGGUUAGAGAGUGGUGCUAAUAAUGCCAAGGUCGUGGGUUCGAUCCCCAUACUGGCCA